rnacentral:lncRNA from 1 species
CUUAUCUUCUUCUUCUCCAGUCCAUUCUUCUUCUUCUUCAGUAACUUUUACCUGUUUUUCCUUCACUACAGAUCUAGUUCUUUUGGACAAGGAGGGUUCAGAAGAUACAGGUUUUGAAAACUUCUUUGCAGAAGUCUUGGUUCCUUUUGGUUUGGAAGUCGAAACCUCCACAGUUGUACCUCUUUCUUGAUGGAUCACUU